AUUGAACGCUGGCGGCAUGCCUUACACAUGCAAGUCGAACGGCAGCACGGGAGCAAUCCUGGUGGCGAGUGGCGAACGGGUGAGUAAAGUAUCGGAACGUGCCCAGUCGUGGGGGAUAACGUAGCGAAAGUUACGCUAAUACCGCAUACGAUCUAUGGAUGAAAGCGGGGGAUCGCAAGACCUCGCGCGAUUGGAGCGGCCGAUAUCAGAUUAGGUAGUUGGUGGGGUAAAGGCUCACCAAGCCGACGAGCUGUAGCUGGUCUGAGAGGACGACCAGCCACGCUGGGACGGAGACACGGCCCAGACUCCUACGGGAGGCAGCAGUGGGGAAUUUUGGACAAUGGGCGCAAGCCUGAUCCAGCCAUGCCGCGUGCAGGAUGAAGGCCUUCGGGUUGUAAACUGCUUUUGUACGGAACGAAAAGGUUUGACUUAAUACGUUGGACCCAUGACGGUACCGUAAGAAUAAGCACCGGCUAACUACGUGCCAGCCGCCGCAGUAAAAC
rnacentral:rRNA from 1 species